CCCUUAGAUGUUCUGGGCCGCACGCGUGCUACACUGAUGCAUUCAACGAGUCUAAAACCUGGUCUGAUAGGGCUGGGUAAUCUUUUGAAAGUGCAUCGUGAUUGGGAUAGAUGAUUGCAAUUCUUCAUCUUCAACGAGGAAUGCCUAGUAAACGCAAGUCAUCAGCUUGCAUUGAUUACGUCCCUGCCCUUUGUACACACCGCCCGUCGCUCCUACCGAUUGAAUGAUCCGAUGAAUACCAUGGAUUGAGAGUACGAAUAGGUUCGCUUAUUUCUGCUGCUCGAGAAGUGGAGUAAAUCUUAUCAUUUAGAGGAAGGAGAAGUCGUAACAA
rnacentral:rRNA from 1 species